UACGAAGGGUGCAAACGUUGCUCGGAAUUAUUGGGCGUAAAGCGCACGUAGGCGGCUUUGCAAGUCCCAUGUGAAAUCCCACGGCUCAACCGUGGAAGUGCAUGGGAAACUGCAGAGCUUGAGUACUUAAGAGGAUCGCGGAAUUCCCGGUGUAGAGGUGAAAUUCGUAGAUAUCGGGAGGAACACCAGUGGCGAAGGCGGCGAUCUGGGAAGAUACUGACGCUGGAGGUGCGAAAGCGUGGGGAGCAAACAGG
rnacentral:rRNA from 1 species